UACGACCCCUUUUUAUAGGACCUUUUGAGAUCCUAGAUAAGAUAGGCCCUGUAGCCUAUAGGUUGGCAUUGCCACCCAGUAUUGGAGACGUGCACAAUGUGUUUCAUGUCUCUCAGUUAAGAAAGUAUGUGUUUGAUCCAAAACACGUGAUUAAGCAUGAUGAAGUAGUCCUAGCUCAUGACUUAAGUUAUGAAGAGAAACCAGUCCAGAUACUUGAUCGCAAGGUUCAAGUUUUACGUAACAAGAACAUCGUUCUUGUUAAAGUGAAGUGGAACCAUCACGGGAUGGAAGAGGCCACAUGGGAACUUGAAGAUUCAAUGAAAGUCAAGUAUCCCCAGUUAGAUUAUCAAGGUAUGUAAUUUCGGGGACGAAAUUUUUUUUAAGGAGGGAGGGAUGUAAUACCCCGUUUCUCCGAGUUAAAUUUAGAAUUUAUUUUCGAAUUUAGAAGUAAGAUGAUUCACGCCGGAUAUAAAGAAAAUGAAUUUAUUUUUAAUUCCAACAAAAAUGAUUUACAAAAAUAUUUGUAAAUUUAGUUAUUGAAUUUAUAUGCAUUUGCAUAUUUAUUUAAUUUAGUAUUUAAGUAUUUUCACGAGCUAUUUAUUUAACGAACACUGAAGUAUUAUUACAGUCCCGGUAUUUUAUGUUCCUAAUAGCCACCCUUUAUCAUGAUUAUUUUUUUUAUUUUUUUCAUACAUGUCACAAUCAAAUCAUAUCUUAUCAAAUUUUUUUCACUUUCUUUCCUCCCACCAUACCCCCUUCUCCUACUAAUCCGACAGCAAAUAAUCUCCAAAAUCUUUCACAAUCUCUCUUUCCACCCACACUAAAGCUUGUCUGCCAUAUCUUAUGCUCAAAUUAAUUUAUUCCUACAUUAUUUCACAAAAUCUUUCACAAUCUCUCUCUCGCAAGUAGCAGAAUUCAGGAGCAAAAGAUAAUUUCAUAGCUCCAUUUAAGGAAUAUCAGCAGCUCGAUUCCAGCAACCAAGCAAAUCCAGAAUCAAACAACACCCAUUUCACAUCCUAAGUUCCUAAAGGCUUUGAGCAUCAGGAGGAUUAGCACUGCUAUUCCGAUUCAGAGAUAAGGUUAAACGACAGGCUUUGCCUAGACAGGUGGGCUUAUUUUUCAAAUGUAUGAUUUAGCUAUUGAGCUUAAAUAUUCGUGUAAUAUAAACUGUUUAUCCAAUAAAAUAUUUUUGUGCACUCUACCAUGUUUAAUGCUCGUACAGUUAAUCAAUUGAGGUUCUCUUAUGACCUAACACGUUGUUUGAGAAUUGUGUACACUUGUUAGAUGACUCGGUGGGUUGAUCUCCAUCGGGCACUAACCAGAGGCGUUAUAAGGGUGCUCGACUGGAUGUGUUCCGGAGCAUAGUUAUGAUAGGUCUGUCUGGAUUAAUUUCCGAGGUUUAUUUUACUUGACUGGGUUACGCCCUCAGUUCAAGUCAGCGGGAGACAGAGAUCCGUCGGUGGUUAGAGGUCCGGGAUCACAGCGAGUAACAGAAUGGAGUGUGCAAACGCGCGCAAAAUAAUUAAGUAUAUAUAUAUAUAUGAAAAUGUUUUAACAUGCAUAGAAGUUAUUUCUCUUUAAAACCUUCUAUGUCAUGUCAGUAAGAUUGGAUAAACUGUUCUUCAGAUUAUGAAAUGCUUUAAAAGUUGCAGCCCACUAAGUACAUUAGUACUUAGCCCAAAAUUACUUUCAAAUGUUUUCAGGUUAAUGGCUGGUGAUGACGGGGCAGAGCUGAGGCUAGAGUUCAACUCCUUAUUUUAAUUUCCGCUGCAGAACUAGCCAGUAUCUGUCUUUUGUUCCUUAACUUAAGACCUAUUAUGUUGUGAAUUCUAAAAACAAUAUCUUUUGUUGAACCUAGACUAUUAACUCUCAAAUAUUUUGAUUAGUGAUUGUUGGUUAUCUGAAGCAUGACACUAAACUUGUGAUCCUGAAGUUGUUAUGUUUGUUGAUUGAUUCGUAUCACUUGAAUACCUGUCUUUCUUCAUCCAAAGGGGCUAAGCCCGAUUGUUAUCCCUUUUAUUCGGAUUUCACAAGGAUUUUCCCUUGUUCAUUUAGAUGAUUAGUCGU